rnacentral:rRNA from 1 species
UAAGUGGGAAACGAUGUGGGAAGGCUCAGACAGCUAGGAUGUUGGCUUAGAAGCAGCCAUCAUUUAAAGAAAGCGUAAUAGCUCACUAGUCGAGUCGGCCUGCGCGGAAGAUGUAACGGGGCUCAAACCAGGCACCGAAGCCGCGGAUUCACGCUAAGCGUGAGUGGUAGGGGAGCGUUCUGUAAGUCUGCGAAGGUGUAUCGAGAGGUAUGCUGGAGAUAUCAGAAGUGCGAAUGCUGACGUAAGUAACGAUAAAGGGGGUGAAAAGCCUCCUCGCCGGAAGACCAAGGGUUCCUGUCCAACGUUAAUCGGGGCAGGGUGAGUCGACCCCUAAGGCGAGGCCGAAAGGCGUAGUCGAUGGGAAGCAGGUUAAUAUUCCUGCACGACUUGUAAUUGCGAUGGGGGGACGGAGAAGGCUAGGUGGGCCAGGCGACGGUUGUCCUGGUGAAAGUGCGUAGGUGGUGUUUCUAGGCAAAUCCGGAGACACAACACUGAGACACGAGACGAACACACUACGGUGUGGAAGCCAUUGAUGCCCUGCUUCCAGGAAAAGCCUCUAAGCUUCAGAUUACAAGUCAUCGUACCCCAAACCGACACAGGUGGUCGGGUAGAGAAUACCAAGGCGCUUGAGAGAACUCGGGUGAAGGAACUAGGCAAAAUAGUACCGUAACUUCGGGAGAAGGUACGCUCUUGUUGGUGAAGUCCCUUGCGGAUGGAGCUGACGGGAGUCGCAGUGACCAGAUGGCUGGGACUGUUUAUCAAAAACACAGCACUCUGCAAACACGAAAGUGGACGUAUAGGGUGUGACACCUGCCCGGUGCCGGAAGGUUAAUUGAUGGGGUUAGCGCAAGCGAAGCUCUUGAUCGAAGCCCCGGUAAACGGCGGCCGUAACUAUAACGGUCCUAAGGUAGCGAAAUUCCUUGUCGGGUAAGUUCCGACCUGCACGAAUGGUGUAACCAUGGCCAUGCUGUCUCCACCCGAGACUCAGUGAAAUCGAAUUCGCCGUGAAGAUGCGGUGUACCCGCGGCUAGACGGAAAGACCCCGUGAACCUUUACUACAGCUUGGCACUGAACAUUGAACCUACAUGUGUAGGAUAGGUGGGAGGCUUUGAAGGCGUGACGCCAGUUGCGCUGGAGCCGUCCUUGAAAUACCACCCUUGUAUGUUUGAUGUUCUAACGCAGGGCCCUGAAUCGGGCUCGCGGACAGUGCCUGGUGGGUAGUUUGACUGGGGCGGUCUCCUCCCAAAGAGUAACGGAGGAGCACGAAGGUUGGCUAAUCCUGGUCGGACAUCAGGAGGUUAGUGCAAUGGCAUAAGCCAGCUUAACUGCGAGACGGACAGGUCGAGCAGGUACGAAAGUAGGUCAUAGUGAUCCGGUGGUUCUGAAUGGAAGGGCCAUCGCUCAACGGAUAAAAGGUACUCCGGGGAUAACAGGCUGAUACCGCCCAAGAGUUCAUAUCGACGGCGGUGUUUGGCACCUCGAUGUCGGCUCAUCACAUCCUGGGGCUGAAGUCGGUCCCAAGGGUAUGGCUGUUCGCCAUUUAAAGUGGUACGCGAGCUGGGUUCAGAACGUCGUGAGACAGUUCGGUCCCUAUCUGC